AAAUUGAAGAGUUUGAUCAUGGCUCAGAUUGAACGCUGGCGGCAGGCCUAACACAUGCAAGUCGAACGGUAACAGGAAGCAGCUUGCUGUUUCGCUGACGAGUGGCGGACGGGUGAGUAAUGUCUGGGAAACUGCCUGAUGGAGGGGGAUAACUACUGGAAACGGUAGCUAAUACCGCAUAACGUCGCAAGACCAAAGAGGGGGACCCUCGGGCCUCUUGUCAUCGGAUGUGCCCAGAUGGGAUUAGCUUGUUGGUGGGGUA
rnacentral:rRNA from 1 species